rnacentral:rRNA from 1 species
AGUGAACGCUGGCGGUAGGCCUAACACAUGCAAGUCGAACGGCAGCACAGUAAGCUUUUGCCUUUACGGGUGGCGAGGGACGGACGGGUGAGGCAUACAUCGGAAUCUACUUUUUCGUGGGGGAUAACGUAGGACAACUUACGCUAAUACCGCAUACGACCUACGGGUGAAAUCAGUGGAUCUUCGGACCUUUCGCGUUUGAAUGAGCCGCGGUCGGAUUAGCUAUUUGGCGGGGUAAAGGCCCACCAAGGCGACGAUCCGUAGCUGAGCUGAGAGGGUGAGAGGCCACACUGGAACUGAGACACGGUCCAGACUCCUACGGGAGGGAGCAGUAGGGAAUAUUUCGCAAUGGGCGAAAGCCUGACGGAGCAACGUAGCGUGAGUGAGGAAGGUCCUCGGAGCGUAAAACUCUGUUUUGAGGGAAGAAAAAAUGUGUAAGUAAAUACGCCCGUCUUGACGGUACCCAAAAAGAAAGACACGGCUAAAUCUGUG